rnacentral:rRNA from 1 species
UAACGCGUGGAGAACCUGCCGUAUACUGGGGGAUAACACUUAGAAAUAGGUGCUAAUACCGCAUAAGCGCACAGCUUCGCAUGAAGCAGUGUGGAAAACAAAAAGCUAAAGCUUUUGGUGGUAUACGAUGGAUCCGCGUCUGAUUAGCUUGUUGGCGGGGUAAAGGCCCACCAAGGCGACGAUCAGUAGCCGGCCUGAGAGGGUGAACGGCCACAUUGGGACUGAGACACGGCCCAAACUCCUACGGGAGGCAGCAG